rnacentral:rRNA from 1 species
CAGCCGCCGCGGUAAUACCGGCGGCCCGAGUGGCGGUCACUAUUAUUGGGCUUAAAGCGUCCGUAGCCGGGUUGGGAAGGCCUCCGGGAAAUCUGGCCGCUUAACGGUCAGAAUGCCGGAGGAUACUCCCAGCCUAGGGAGCGGGGGAGGCCGAGGGGAUUCCCGGAGUAGGGGGGAAAUCCUAUAAUCCCGGGAGGACCACCUGUGGCGAAGGCGCUCGGCUGGAACGCGUCCGACGGUGAGGGACGAAGGCCAGGGGAGCAAACCGGAUUAGAUACCCGGGUAGUCCUGGCUGUAAACGAUGCGGACUUUGUGUCGGACAAGCUAUGAGCUUGUCCGGUGCCGGAGGGAAACCGUUAAGUCCGCCGCCUGGGGAGUACGGCCGCAAGGCUGAAACUUAAAGGAAUUGGCGGG